rnacentral:rRNA from 1 species
UACGGAGGAUGCGAGCGUUAUCCGGGGUUUAUUGGGUUUAAAGGGUGCGUAGGCGGCUUUUUAAGUCAGCGGUGAAAUUUUGCAGCUUAACUGUAACAGUGCCGUUGAUACUGGGGAGCUAGGAUUUGGUUGCUGUGGGUGGAAUGUGUGGUGUAGCGGUGAAAUGCUUAGAGAUCACACAGAAUAUCGAUUGCGAAGGCAGCUCACAAAGCCAAGAUUGACGCUGAGGCACGAAAGUGUGGGGAUCAAACAGGGAUUAGA